rnacentral:rRNA from 1 species
GAUUAUAUUAAGAGUUAUUGUUGUUAUUAUAAUAUAUUAUAUUAGUAUAAUGAGUGAAAGUUGAAGUUAUUUUAUAGAGGAGUUAGUACUGUUUAGGAAUUAUUUAAUAUUUAUUUAAAAUAUUAGGUUUAUUAGUACCUUUUGUAUUAGGGUUUUUUAAUUUGAUUUAGUGUUAGAUUAUAUCUUGAUGAAUAUCGUGCUAUUAUUUUAGUAUAAUAAUUUUGUUGCAUAAAAUUUUUUAUGAAUUAAUAGUUAUGAAAUAUUAUUCAAGUUAUUUUUUAUCUAGUUUUCUGAGUAGUAUAAUGGUAGGUAUAUAUAUUAUGGAGAUAAGCGGGGAUUAGCUUGUUUAUUGUUUAUAUAUUAGAGGUAAAAAUAUUUAUGGGUGAAGUUGAAAGUUCUUAGUUUGAUGAUAUUAUUAUAGAUUAAGUUUUAUUUGUUAAUUUUUUAAAAUUGUGUAUAAAUCGGGCAUUUUAUUUUAAUUUUUAUUUUAAUGAUAUAAUGAUGAAAUUAGUAAUAUAGUAUUUAUAUGAUUAGUUGUUAAAUUGUUUUUUGCUAAUAAGUUAUAGGUGAUAUUAAGAGUGAAGAAUUCGGCAAAAUUAGCUUUUGACUGUUUAGCAAAAACAUUGUUUUUUGUUGUGAUGAAAAAUAAGUUCUGUCCACUGCUGAAUAGUGAAGGGCUGCAGUAUUUUGACUGUAUGAAGGUAGCAUAAUCAUUAGCUUUUUAAUUGGAAGCUGGUAUGAAGGUGAAACAGAGGUUAACUAUUUUGUUCUUAAUUGGUGAAUUUUAUUUUUAUGUGAAAAAUCGUAAGUGUGUAAAAGGGACAAGAAGACCCUAAUAAGUUUAAUUUUUUGUUGUGAUGCAUAUAUAGGUUAUGAAAUUUGUAUAAUUUAUGAUUGAAGAAUUUGACUGGGGCGGUAUGUUAAAAAACAUUAUUUAUUUUUUAAUUUUUGAUAGCGAAGUUUUGACCUAAGCAGGUUAGAUGAAUGUAAAAUUACUGUAGGGAUAACAGCGUAAUUUUUUUUAAGAGUUCUUAUUGACAGAAAA